UAGGGAAUCUUCGGCAAUGGGGGGAACCCUGACCGAGCAACGCCGCGUGAGUGAAGAAGGUUUUCGGAUCGUAAAGCUCUGUUGUUAAGGAAGAACGAGUGUGAGAAUGGAAAGUUCAUGCUGUGACGGUACUUAACCAGAAAGGGACGGCUAACUACGUGCCAGCAGCCGCGGUAAUACGUAGGUCCCGAGCGUUGUCCGGAUUUAUUGGGCGUAAAGCGAGCGCAGGCGGUUAGAAAAGUCUGAAGUGAAAGGCAGUGGCUCAACCAUUGUAGACUUUGGAAACUGUUUAACUUGAGUGCAGAAGGGGAGAGUGGAAUUCCAUGUGUAGCGGUGAAAUGCGUAGAUAUAUGGAGGAACACCAGUGGCGAAGGCGACUCUCUGGUCUGUAACUGACGCUGAGGCUCGAAAGCGUGGGUAGCAAACAGG
rnacentral:rRNA from 1 species